rnacentral:lncRNA from 1 species
GGGUUUCGUUCAUUAUUUUGUACACAAUUUAGGCCGUUAGUUUUCUCGUUUGAAAUGCUUUACCUUUGUCAUAUUAGGCCUUAUAAAGCUACCUAUGUGGUAUUGGCUUUGUUUAUAGUUAAAGGCUUUACGGCGACCUAUAGUUGUAAUAAUUUCUGUGUCUUUUGGUCUCUGGUGGAGAGUUGUCUAAUAGGCUAUCGUACCGCAUCUUCUUUUAUAUAUAUAAUGGGAUAAAUGCAAGUUUUGUUUAUUAUUGUCUAUAAUUUUGUAAACCGGUAUAAAAAUUAGAAAGACAGGAGCAAACAUUUUACAGAUUUUUGAGCUUUACAAAUUUUCCAUAUACGCGAAAAC